rnacentral:rRNA from 1 species
AGCAGCCGCGGUAAUUCCAGCUCCAAUAGCGUAUAUUAAAGUUGUUGCAGUUAAAAGCUCGUAGUUGAAUUUCGGGGUUAGUAGGUUGGUCAUGCCUCUGGUAUGUACUGGUCUCACUGAUUCCUCCUUCCUGAUGAACCGUAAUGCCAUUAAUUUGGUGUUGCGGGGAAUUUGGACUGUUACUUUGAAAAAUUAGAGUGUUAAAGCAAGCUAACGCUUGAAUACAUUAGCAUGGAAUAAUGAAAUAGGACGUUCGAUCCUAUUUUGUUGGUUUCUAGGAUUGACGUAAUGAUUAAUAGGGGAUAGUUGGGGGGCAUUAGUAUUCAAUUGUCAGAGGUGAAAUUCUUGGAUUUUAUUGGAAGACUAACUACUGCGAAAGCAUUUUGCCAAGGAUGUUUUCAUUAAUCAAGAACGAAGUUAGGGGAUCGAAGACGAUCAGAUACCGUCGUAAUCUUAACCAUAAACUAUGCCGACUAGGGAUCGGAUGAUGUUAAUUUUUUAAUGACUCAUUCGGCGCCUU